rnacentral:rRNA from 1 species
UUUGGUGAGUGGCGGACGGGUGAGUAACACGUGGGUAACCUGCCCAAAAGUGGGGGAUAACAUUUGGAAACAAGUGCUAAUACCGCAUAACAACUGCUUUCACAUGAUCGCAGCUUGAAAGAUGGCUCUGCUAUCGCUUUUGGAUGGACCCGCGGCGUAUUAGCUAGUUGGUGAGGUAAUAGCUCACCAAGGCAAUGAUACGUAGCCGACCUGAGAGGGUAAUCGGCCACAUUGGGACUGAGACACGGCCCAAACUCCUACGGGAGGCAGCAGUAGGGAAUCUUCCACAAUGGGCGAAAGCCUGAUGGAGCAAUGCCGCGUGAGUGAAGAAGGUUUUCGGAUCGUAAAACUCUGUUGUUGAAGAAGAACAUGCGUGAGAGUAACUGUUCACGUACUGACGGUAUUCAACCAGAAAGCCACGGCUAACUACGUGCCAGCAGCCGCGGUA